ACAUACGACCAUAGGUAGUGUAGAAUUCGGGGUCUCGUCUGCUCCCCCAGAGACAAGCCACUAACCGGCAGAUUAGUAGUCAAGUGGGUGACCAUUGGCGAACACCGGCUGUUGUAUGUA
rfam:Trichoderma atroviride IMI 206040 TRIATcontig_21, whole genome shotgun sequence.